UUAUUUCCCCUCCCGAAUACUGUAACUCCCGAAUCUUGGAGACUUCGAGCGGUUCAGUCCCGGCGUUCACCCAGGGAUAGGUGACUUGGGUGAGCACAGAAUGGCCAUGAGGUGGUCAACCUCUGUUGCGCCCUGGUUGUCCCGGCAGGGCCUUAGAAAGCCAAGUCUUUGGUGGGAGACGCGGGGACCAGGAGGGCCCGCCCCUCCGGGAGGAGCAAAGCUUCGGCUGACAAGCUGGCCAAUGGGAGGCGAGAACUACUGCACAACGUGGAGCGGCUGCAGAAUGUAAACACAGCCCCCGCGCUGCGGGCCACGUGCGCUCUAGCGCGCCGCAGCUCCUGGCUGGCGCUGCCAUCCCAAGCGGCCACACUCAGGGGAGACUUCCCCAGCUAGCCGGCUAAGGUACGUAUCAACCCUAACUUCCCGGUUCCUGCUACGCCGACCCGGUUACCCUCUCCGAGGGUGGGAUUCUCUCCCAGCAGCCGCCCAGCUCCUACCCUGCAGCUCGAAUCCCGCAGUCCCCGCGCGGGAAACGCUGGCGCCACGCUGAUUCUUUCUUUUCUCUUCCUAGCCUUCAAUUCCAGGGCCCCGAGGGCAGAACCCCUCUCUGGAGAGAUUAAGAAGCUUUCCUCAUCCCCACGAGUGUUGUGGCCCUCCAAGAACCCAGCCGGGGGGUGAACAGCUAAAACCACGUGCAGGCCCCUGGCCCGCCCGCCGCGUCCCGCCCUGCUGCCAGCGCGCCCUGCGGAGCCCGCGCGAGCCGCCUAGGCGGGAGGGAGCCGCCCUGCGCGCUAAUGGGAGGCGGCGAAUCCCGCUCUUUUCCUUUCCUUUAUUCCUAUAUUUAAGUUUAUGGGUCUCCUAGCUACUUCUCUUAGCGCUCCCAUCCCUGCGCCCCCUUGCACUUCUCCGAUUCGGACACGCAAGUUUUGCGGCGGGAGACAGUUCCCGGAACAAAGACCUCUGGGUCAGAGGAGCCGUUUGAAGGCUUCCUGGAACCGUGGCAGCUCAAGUUGCAAGUCAACUGGGCGCUUUUCUGUCCUGGCCUGGAUGAGUCGUGGGAGAGAGCAGAGAGAAGACCCCACACACGAUCCCCGCAAAGGCCUCUCCAGAGACUGACCCAGAGGCGGCCCGCCAGAGGGACCCUGGCUCCCAGUCCAGGCUUUUUUUGCUGCUCCGCUCGUUAGGGCCCCAGAUCUUAGAAACCAGCGCUUUUGGGGCAGGCAAAAUCCUUUCUCACAGUUUCCCUUUCGAUUCUUAGGACAGUCUCAUGAUGCUAGCCAAAGAAUGAUUUCCCUUCCAAUUUUACACGGAAUAGCCCUGCCCAGUUUGACAUAGAAACAAGAAGUCCAUGCCUUGUCUGUUUCAAGAAACUUUAUAUCAUUCAUAAUGCUUAUGAUGGCUCCCUUUUGCGGUCGCUCAAACCCUUUCCUAUGUAAAGCUUAGCAGUCUAACUCAUGAUGUCAGAAAGGGAGGGUGUCUUCCAACAAGUAUGUUUUAGUCCAGUAUGAGCAAAACUGGUGACCUGUAUGAGUGAAGUUGAUCAUUAAAAUAUGCUGAAAACCAGGGAUGUCAUUAACAUUUGUGGGAUUAAUCUUUGAGUACUGUGUGCCCAGCACUGGCAUACACUAAAUUAAUUGUAAGCAAGGCAUUGUUAUUAGACAUGUACUUGGUCUUAUCCUUGACUAUUAUAUGAACCAAGUGCAAUUGUAGUAAGGAAGAAAUUAGAGUGGUCCCCAAACAGCUUUGUAAAUGAAGGAAUGGGGUGAAUGCUACCAUUUUAUAAAUACCUGGUUAGUGGACAAAUGGGUCUGUAAAAACCAUGGGCUUUCAGACCAACUAAAUUCCAGUCUUGUGCUGCUGCAAGUUACCAAUCCCUCUAACAUGGGUUUUCUCUAGAAAAGUUGUAAGUAGGCAUUCAUCUCAAAGGUUAUUUUAUUUGUUGCUUUUUUUUUUUUUUGGAACUAGGGGUUGAACCCAGAGCUUUUUGCAAAUGCAAGGCAGAUGCUUUGCCACUGAGCUACAUCCCAGCCCUCAAUGGUUAUUUUAAUGAUUAAAUUUAAUAAUGUACAUAGAGACCUCCCUAUGUGUACCUGUCACAAGGUAUGGAUGCUCAAUAAGUACUAGUUCUUCUUACUCUUAACUUCUCUUAUUCACCUCCCCUUACCAGUAGAAAUUAUAAUUCAGCAUUCUGAAUAAAAUAGAAAGCUGAGUUAUAAAAUUUAUGUUUCCCAGAAUUUUGUUCAUGUAGUUAUCCUUUGUUGGACACCUAUUGGGAGGGUCAUCGUUCAAUAUGUCAUCUUUUUUAUAAUUUUAUGUGCUCAUUUUUUGACUUCCUCUUUUUCCAGUCAUCCCAGUUUUAAAAUUCACCUACUUUGAAACAUAUGAAAUUCCUUUAUACUUUUUAAUAAUUUUAGAAAUUUUGGCUUUUUCUUUCUUGUACUGGCGAUUGAAUCCAACACCUUGUGCACGCUAGGCAAGUGACCUACCACUAACCUACAUUCCCAGCCCUUUUUAUUUUGAGACAGGGUCUCAGUGAGUUGUCAAGGUUGACCUCAAACUUGAUAUCCUCUUGCCUCAGCCUCCCAAGUAGCUGAGAUUAUGGGAAUGUACCCCUUUAUCUAGCCAGAAGUCUUGACAUUUUCUAAAGUAUAUUUUCCCUGUUGUGUAUGUCCUAAAAUGCCAUGGCAAAUAAACUCUUGACCUCUGUAGUGCUUCAUUUGCACAAUGCUUUUUAUUCCUGUUUAUUUUUGUGAGGGUGACGGUAAGAUUUUUUUUGGGGGGUGGUGGUGGUAAUAGUGUUGGUUCUGGGAUCAAACCCAGGAACUCUGAGCUACAUCUUUCAGCCUUUUUACUAGUUUUUGUUUAGAGAUAGGAUCUUGCUAAGUUGCUGCGGCUGGCCUGAAAUUUGUGAUUCCCUGCCUAAGAAUGGCUGGGAUUAUGGGCAUGUACCACUCUGUCUGGCCCAGAAAUAUUCUUUUUCUUCUCUCUUUUAUUUAUUUAUUAUUCUAAUUUGUUAUAUAUGACAGCAGAAUGCAUUACAAUUCAUAUGACAUAUAUAGAGCACAAUUUUUCAUAUCUGUUGGGUGUGUGGGAGACUCCCCCUUCCUGGAGAACAUCUUGGAAUCCCUUACUCCUCCCGUACCUCUUCAAAGGGCGCCAAGCCAAGAACACCAAAUUCAAAGGUUUCUUCCACCAAUCCCCGCAGGACACAAUGUCCGCUUGUUGAGUCACCCUACCAAUCAGCACCCACCAUGUGCCCUGUGCAACCCUUCUUUAGCCAAAGCUUGUAAGCACAUGUUCCUCUCUCUCUUUCUGCCCCCCUCCUCUUCUCUCUGCUCUCUACUUCUCCUUUGAGCAGCCACCCAAUAAAAUCUCUUGGUUGAAUCUCUGUCUUGAGUGAGUCACUCGCCUUUCAAUAUCUUUGGUUUUAUACAAAGUAGAGUCACACCAUUCGUGUCUUCAUACAUUUACUCAGGGUAAUGAUGUCCAUCUCAUUCCACCAUUUCUUUUUACCCCCAUGUCCCCUUCCUUUCCCUCCCACACCUUUGCCCUACUCCCCCUCCCAAACCCUCUUUAUAUCAGAGAAAACAUUCAACUUUUGGGUUUUGGGAUUGACUAACUUCACUUAGCAUUAUAUUCUCCAAAUCCAUCCAUUUACCUGCAAAUGCCA
rnacentral:lncRNA from 1 species